GGAAGUUACAGCUCAGUGGUACAAUGUGUGCUUAGCAUGCACAAGGUCCUGGAUUCAAUCCCCAGUACUUCCA
rnacentral:tRNA from 1 species